UGGUGAGGAGAUGCCUUAUAAGAAUAAAGAAAUCCAAGCUUGGAAUGAAAGCAACAGAUUCACAGGAAGUCCCUAUGAAAUCUAUAUUAAUGGGCUGUGAAGAUCCAAAUCCUUUGACGAGUUGAUCAUGUUGUAGUCUGUAUACCAAGGUGCCGCUGGGAAAUUACAAGUUGUUUUCACACUUCAGCCAUUGAGAGGGAAUCAAUUCAGACUCCAUCAAAGAGCCAGUAACGUCUUCUGACCAGAUGUUUGAUAACACAUCAUGAAUUUCUGCCCACGUCACAGCCUGACAACAUCGCAUCUCACAACAGCUGCAGAAAGUGGUUCCAGGAAGGCCAGUCACAAAACACCUCGCCAUUUUGAUUACUGAUCCUACUCCCUUCUAGAAUAAGUUGCUGUCAGAAGCCCACGUUGGCAGGAAGCUGGG